UACAUGAAGAAUUGGAGGGUAUUGUCAGA
rnacentral:piRNA from 1 species